GGGCAGGAGGCGGGCGGCGCUGUCAGUGCGAGGCGGCGAGCGGAAUGCAGCGGCCCGAGGCCUGGCCACGUCCACACCCGGGGGAGGGGGCCGCGGCGGCCCAGGCCGGGGGCCCGGCGCCGCCUGCUCGAGCCGGGGAGCCCUCGGGGCUGCGGUUGCAGGAACCUUCCCUCUACACCAUCAAGGCUGUUUUCAUCCUAGAUAAUGACGGGCGCCGGCUGCUGGCCAAGUAUUAUGAUGACACAUUCCCCUCCAUGAAGGAGCAGAUGGUUUUCGAGAAAAAUGUCUUCAACAAGACCAGCCGGACUGAGAGUGAGAUUGCAUUUUUUGGGGGUAUGACCAUCGUCUACAAGAACAGCAUUGACCUCUUCCUAUACGUGGUGGGCUCAUCCUACGAGAAUGAGCUGAUGCUCAUGUCUGUUCUUACCUGCCUGUUUGAGUCUCUGAACCACAUGUUAAGGAAGAACGUGGAGAAGCGCUGGUUGCUGGAGAACAUGGACGGAGCCUUCUUGGUGCUGGACGAGAUUGUGGAUGGCGGUGUGAUUCUGGAGAGUGACCCCCAGCAAGUGAUCCAGAAGGUGAAUUUUAGGGCAGAUGAUGGCGGCUUGACUGAACAGAGUGUGGCCCAGGUCUCUCUGCUCAGACUAAUCCUGCUUGUAUGGAACUUCCUGCCUUGGCACUAACUCCUUGUGCUGUGGUGGCCCUACCGAGAUGAGCCUGUGCUGUCUCGUGUGGAGUUCCAGGUUCUUCAGUCUGCCAAGGAACAAAUUAAAUGGUCCUUAUUGAAAUGAAGGCUGUGGAUUCAAGGCUCCCUGCCCCCCAGACCAUUUCCCCAAUCCUGGCCAAAGCCCAGAGAUCCCACCGUCAGGAGAGACCCCUCUGCAUCCCCAGGUCCCUCCCGGAACUGAUUCCUAAGGUCUCCAGCCAGGGAUUCUGAGAUGCAAAGGUUUGGCCUCAGGAGAGUCACCUCUUCUCACUGCCUUGGCCUUAACUCAUACCUUAGGCAUUCCUGGCCCCAGGGCCCUAAUAAACCUGCUUUUGUCUUCUGCCAA